rnacentral:pre_miRNA from 1 species
CUUCCUCCGCAGGCUGCGGCCCCCAGGCUGGGCGGUGCGAGUCGCUCUAGGAAAGGCUCACCCUCCAGCAGGACUAGGAGC